ACUGGGUCUGACGCGGCGAAAGCUGGUGAAUCUUGUCAGGGCGGGAACGCAGCAGCAAUAAGCCAUAACUUUCGGGUGUUGUCAGAGUGCUCGGUUGG
rnacentral:SRP_RNA from 1 species